AGACUGCAAGAAAGCACAUUGCCUGUGAAUUUUGGGUGUGCUGCUCCUCCCAAAGGGACUGAGCAGGGGGGGCUGGGGCUGUGCAGCCUCACGUGUCUGAAAGGUCCCACGGCAGCGAUGGGCAUGGAGAGGUAGACAUGACCCUAAGCCCUCCUCCCCCCUUAGAAAAGCACCCUCUGGUCUUAGCACACAGGCACCUGUUGCACUUACUUGCUGCUUUGGGAGGAUAUUUGCUUCUUGCAGCUUCAGCUGAGAGGAAGCAGAGCAGGAAGAUGAACGGCAGUGAAGUCAUUUUGCUUACAUUCCCUGGAAAAGGCACAGAAGUUGGCGAAUAGUCACACUUGUAAAGGGAUUAACUGAUCGAGUCGCCUAAUAAUCCAUACGCCUGGAGGGUAAGAGUUGUGGCUAUUAGAGCUAGGGAAAAACACCACGUUUAAUUACUUUAGUCAAACCAUUUAAUGUGCAAUGGGGAGCUGAUGUCUGCACUUGCCCAUGUUGCUGCAUGGCACUGCGACUGCCUGGGGGUCUGAAACCAAGGCAGCAAUCCUCAGCCAUGUAAAAGGAAGGGACCUGCCUUUACCACAAAGCCAGUUAAUGCGAGGCUUGCAAGGCAGUGAUGUAGCCAUUGGAGCAGGAUGCCCCAGGGACAGUGGUGAUAUGAGCAGCACAAGAAACUCUUUUGGCCAAACCAGAAGAGACCUGAUUCCAAGUCAGAGGUGACAUCUGGUUUGUGAAUCAGAACAGCCCAUCACAAGGCUGAAGUCCAAAGAUGGCCCAAAAGCUGCUGAGCCCAAGCAGGCCAGGAGUUCAGGUGGUGGCUCGGAGCUAGGCUGCUCGCUGCCUUGCCAGGGUAAUGCCACUUGAAAUAGUUUGUUGUUUGUGCCGUGAAAGGAAGGCUUGUUCCCUCCUGAGCCUGGGUGCCAAAACCACUCCUUGAGAAAACCUGCUUUUGUAGAGCAGAGUUCCUGUCCAAAGCCAGUAUUUAGUUUCAUACCAUUGCUUUCCUGUUUUCUUCAAGAACGUGGAAACAUUGGGUUUUUCUUUCCUUGGCUGCUGAUAAAGUCAGGGUGCAGAGAUUUAAACCCCCCAGAGAAUCACUGGUACAUCUGACCAAAACUACUGCACCAAAACUAAAUCCUAGCCAAAGUGAUGGCUGGUGGGAAUGCCAAGCCAAGCUGCCUGUUUCUUGAAAUGUGUCCCCAGCCAGCAGGAUGAAUAUUUCUGAUCUUUCCAUGUCUUGUUCUGACUGAUGGCGCAGGGAAAGCCAAGGCUUUUAAUUCCCUAAGUGGUUUUCCCUGGCCCGAACCGAGUGUGCUGCAGGACACUGCGUGGUGCUGUGGUGAGAGGAUGCACUUCUGAGCACAAAUGUUGAUCUACCUGUUUAUUAUUCCAAGCUCUAGAGAUGACAGAUGCCAAGGAAAGUCUUUAUGAAUGUUCACAGGAAUUUGAUUUCAGGGCAUCAGGUGACAGGUUUUAUUUUAUGAGGGGUAAUUCCCAGCAGAAGAAAAAUGCCUUCGCUUCCGUGUUAAGAUGAAAGGUGUUCUGUUGUUCUUUCUUCCUUGUAUUGUGAUUUCUAAUUGCUCAGUGUCCACUUGUCUAUGGUUAAUAAUUUACUCACUGAGCAUGAAAAAUGCUUUUUCAUACAUAUCCCCGAGGUAGCCAGCAAGGCAAACAAAGCACGCUGUGCCAAAGGCAAACAGCGCAGCACAGCAAGGCCCCGCUUUGCCCCCCGCUGCCCUCCCGCCCCCACCGGGCACUGCCAGCUGUGGUGGCAAGGGGCAAGGACAGGUCCCAGUCCAGAUUUUCCCCUUCUUGGUAAAAUUUGUGUGAUCGGUUGCUCUGACUCCUUCCUGAAGCAAUCAGCUGUGUCAGGGUUACCGACUGCAGCAUCUUGCCAGGCGGGGAAGGAUUACGGAGACCUCGCUUGGAAAUGAAGAUCGAGCAGUGUGAAAGAACACAAAGAUGUGUGCAAGAGUGGUGGCAGCGAGGUCUGCGUGUGUGCGAGCAGGAGAGGAUUUGGGCAUCCUUCUCCAACUUGUGCCUACACGAGAGUGACAGCUUGUGUGUGCUGCCACCAGCAACGUGUGGCUCCGACUGCCCCUGGUCCUGCUCUCUGGCACCAACGCCCUCCCUGCUUGCUGAAUGGAGGCAGCAAGUCCCAGCAGGCACGGCCGCCUCUUACGCAAAAAGCUCUGCCGGGCACUUGCACACCAACCCCCUGAGCGGGGCGAGUGGAAACCCCCUGCCCUGCACGCCGAGUGAUGCUGCCCGGCCUCCCCGGAGAUGCUGGGGCAGAAUUCCUAACAGCCUGCUGCUAAAACAGCUCCUGCUGCUAAAACAGCUCCUGCUGCUCCUUGCUUUCAGAGAACUUUUGCUGCUGCCUCGGCUGCCUGCAGUCAGAGCGUGAGACUCAAACCUCAGAGCCCAGAUAAGGGAAAGGCUGCUGAGCUGGUGUGAAAGGGCGUGCAAGUAAGUGGCUGUGCAAGGGACCUGCAUUAGUGCUGCUGCUGGUGGGGGGUGUUAGAGAGGAGGUGGGACAGCAAAUGGCUGCAGGGGGCUGUGAGAGAGUCAGGAGGCUUGAAGCAGAGUGUGCUGCCUGCAGGGUAUCUGGGAAGCAAGUUUAUGGCAUGGACGUGGGGUUGGAGAUUAUCUGCAUGUGUCUGGCAGCAACAGCUCCUUCAAGGAAAAUGCAGGAAUUCACCCCAGGCAGUGAUGCUGUGACUGGUCCUGGGAGGGCCCUCGAGUCCUUGGGGGGAGGUCUGAGGUCUGACAUGAAGCGUGGGGCUGGUGCAGUGCUCCCAGCAUCUUCCAGCAGAAGCCACUUACCCCCUGCACGGGGGAUAAUAUCCCUGCUGCUUUUGUCGAUGCAGGAGAAGGGCUUUUUCUUUGGGAUGCUCAUCCCAGUGCUUUGCAUGUGCUGCCUUAGCCUCGCGUAUUAAAAACUGAGAGAGAAACUGCGUGGGAGGUGGUGCCAUGGGCUGGCCAGGAGGGAAGGCAGAGAGGGAGCCCGGGGGAAGGUUCCCGCUGGGAAGGCGUCUCCAAAGCAGGUCUGCAGCACGGGGCAAAGAUACCACAGGUGGGAAAUGCCAAGCUGGCAGAGCCUCCUCCAGCCCUUUUGGAUCAAUUUUCGUGGGUGUUGGGACAUUGGUCUGGAGUAGUUAUGGCAUGAGGCAUCCCUGGGCUUGGUUUCCUGGUCUACCGUGUGUGGGCAUUUCCCUGGAUCCCCCAUGCCGAAAGCACUGCAGGGGCUGUCAGGGUUGGGACCAUCGCCUUCCUCUCCAGCUGUGUGGCAGGCCUGAAUUCUGAAAUGAUGCUUUCAGGUUCCUGGCAUAAAAUGCUGGGGGAGCAGGGGCUCUCAAACCAUGUUAGCUCUUCUAAAUAUUACAAGACCUUCCCUGGGUUUCCACGGUGCUUUUGCAACUCUGAGCACUCGGGAGGAAUGUCUUCAGAUAUAUAAUGGUGCAGAGGAGAUUGGGACCUGAACCGAGUUAUGCAAACGCAAGCAAGCAGCUGCUCUGACUGGGUAAAAAAAAAAAAAUCAGAUCAAUUCCCAAAUUCUGCUGUCUCAGCUGCUGGGUUGAGCUUUGAGAAACUGGCGCUCUCACAGUGCGGCUUGCCAGGGAUCAACAGGCCAAUCUAUUAGCCAUUAACUACUGCUCUUAACAACGACCAGUGUCAAGGAUGUGCCAUGGGACCAAUGAAACACGAAGAGUUCACUGCCAUGCUUCUGAUUUCACUGCAGGAACCUUCUGCUUUGCGGAAAGUCUGCUGGUAUUCACGCAUUUAAGGAACAGCAGACGGAAUGGAGCAAUGGGCAUUUUUGCCCCUCAAAUCCUUUUAAAGACAGACCGACUAACACCAUGAGUGAGCUGCACAGAUGCAAACCGUUGCAGACGUACGUGGCGCUGAGCAGCAGCACCAGGACUGGGCAGUGAGGAGGAGCUGGGGUGAUUUGUGGAGGCGCCUGGCAGCAGGACACAGCAGCGGCCAUCCUGCUGAGCAGCCCCGGGGCUCUCCACAUCCUCCUAAAUUGCUGCACUGGUGGCCGUAUUGCCAGAGUUAUUUGCUAGAGUGGGAGGGGAAAAGCCGUCCGUCCGCUUGGAUAGCGCACGCUCAUUGUGCUCUGUGGAGGUGAGCGAGCAGUGAGCUCCUGAAGAUAAAAGAUCAGCCUGACCUAAACACACGCAGAAAAUUUCUGCUUCCAAACUGAUGCCCGCUUUGCAACAUGGAAAGAGUAAACAGGAUGUGCUGAUUUUAUGAUAGGCUGAGCAGAGAUAGCUAGGCAGAUCUGAUCAAAAGUUAUCAGGACUUGCAAUGAAAUCAACCGUCUCUAGGAAUUUCUGCAGUCCCGUAACCUUCCUAGUUAAGGAUCUGUGUUUGUUCCAGCUAAAUGCUGUGCUAAGCGAGCACUAUAUUCUGGAAAACAAAUGGAAAAGACUGGCCAGAUAAUCCUUAUUAAUGACUGAAAUUUCCACUGAGGUUGUCCUGAUGACCUAAUUUUAAGUGCCCGUAAGCUGUUAGAUGCACUGUCUACUGGUUUGUUACUCUUCAGAUAGGAUUCUCAUGGUUCACUCGUUUCUUACUGUUUGUUUCUUGAGCUGGAAAGUGAAACCAACUUUGGCACUAUUAAACUGUUAUUGUAGCUUAAAACUAUUCAUGUUCCUGGAAUUUGUGCUAACCCAAAGCAAUUACUGUACUGCUACGGAGUGUGCUGUAGAAGUUUGGGUGGAUGGAAAGCAUCAGAGCACCCGUCCUUAGCAGCAGCACAAUUGCAGUUAGGAGGUAUUUUUUCACUGUACUUCAGACAAAAUAAAUCAGGUCCUUCUGGAGGUAAGAAUUUAGGCCUGCAGAAACCCAGCCCUUUGCUGUGGUACAAGGCAGAGGAGUCUGUCAGCUUUGUCUCCCCUGUUUUAGGGCUCUGUGUCCACCCCAUGCCCUUAUGCUGCGGUAUCUAUUUAUCUGCCCUUUAACUGUACACGUUUGGUAGCUUUUCAGAGCUCUUUCAGGAGUUAGCCCUACCAAUUCCCUUCCUAAAUUUCCAAAUCCAUCUCCUUAUGACCAUCGCAGUGCUGUGAUACAAAAAGUCAUAAUGACCACAGACUGAGUUGCAGCAGUUCAGAUUACUGCAGUUGUAUUUACUAACAUUUGUCAUUUUCUAUGUUAAAACAUAAUGCAAAUAUUGUAAUGAUAAUUACCUUAUAGCCAGAAAGGGAAGAUUAAAAGUCUAAGGCAAAGAAGAAAAAGUAAAAAUUACAAGCUUGAUCCUAUUUCUCUGACUGUCUUCUAAAGUAAAACUUUCUCCUCACCAGCAAGAGCUUCACGUCCAUUUACUGCUGCUUCAAAGCGAGUUCCCUGCGCACAUGUGAGGGGAAGGGACCUGAACUGCCCCGUGCUUUGUGCUCUGCUCCUUCUGUAUCUUACAGUGCAGAAGAUUUCAUGCUUUAGGAGGAAAAUGAAGAAGCUUUACUCACACUUCAGGUUACUCCUGCAGACUGCUUUGCACUUCUUGCUUUCUCCUUCAGGCUGGCUUUGCUGGUACCUUGGCAGCUGACCCCGGGACCUCCUGGCUGUGCGUGGGUGUCUGUCUGUCCUGCCUCCCCGCUGCGGCUGGACACUGAGCUCGGGCAGUGCCAGCCUGUUUUAAAUACUCCUCGUACCUCCAGCCAUGCAUUUCCACCUGUUGUGCCUUAAAGGAAUAGCAUCCGAGAGCCUCGCAGGUGCACAGGGUGCCACGUGGGAGCGGGGACAGCCAAUGCCCGUCCCGGCACCGCUGACACUUGGCAGGGCAGCGGGCGCACGUCGCUGUUUGCCUCCUGAUUACACCCUCCCGUUGUGCAACCAAGAGUGGGCUCUGGCCUCGGCCGUGGGCGCUGCCCUGGCACUUCCACUGCCUUCGGGCAGGAUGUUUGCCCAACGCAGCCAGGUUUAGGGUCAGGAACAUGGGUAGGCUGCUGCUGUGCCGGCAGUGGGUACCCGCAAGGCAGCUUGUGGCUGCCCUGCCUGCAGAGCAAUAGUUUUGUAGGGAAAACCUGUGCAAAACCAUUUUUUUUUCCCACUGGUUUUCCAUUUUGUUUUUGGAAAGCAGUGCCCUAAGCAGGCCCGGGCUCGUUGUAUCUCCUGGCAGAGCAGGUUGGCCUCGCUGGGAGGGCAGCUCUGCCCCCAGCCCCUCUGCCUCCCCACUGCCCCGCGGGCAGAGCAGGAGCCCGGGUGGGCCAAGGCUGGCUUCGUCUGUGCAAAACGAGAACACGGCAAGUUCUUUAAAUUGAAAAAUCCGCAGGUGCUCUGCUGCCAUCUUCAGCUUUGUCGCUUUGCUAUCCUGCUGUAGGCAUGCGAGGGGCCCGUGCAAGAAUUCUCCUGCAAAGACUGAGGUUGUCAGAAAUUGAAUGGUAUGAGAAACUAGAAUUAAUGAAAAUGGAAGCGUUUGUUGUGUAGGAUGAAUCGUUAACCUGCUUUACCUUGUACUAAUGAUUCAAAAGCAGUAAUUUCAUUUAACUUGGGGGGUCACAUGAAGCUUUUCUCCUCUACUCAUAGGGAAAGCUGAGGAGUUCAAGCAGGACGGCACCUCUGGGCAAUCCUGCCCUAGCUGAGAGCAGGUGGGAUCCUGACCUGGGGCUGGGACAUCCUACAGCUUGUCAGACCCUACAGCCAUCUGGAAGCACCUUUCCUCUCACCGAGGGUGCCGAGCUCCUCCGCAGGAAGGCUCAGCCAUUGCGGCAGGGCAGGAGCUGCCGUGGGGAGCGCGGCCGUGCCCGAACCCACACAGAGUGCACUGCGGGGUCUGGGAUCGGGUCCAGCCGUGGUCACUCUCCCCGGCAGGAAUAACACCCGUCCCUUUGCAAGCCGUGUCCUUCCCACCACUGCUCCGCUGGCCGCGGCUGGCAUGGCUGAUUUGAGUUCCUGGGCAUGGAGUUGCAACUGGCCAUGAUAAACACAGGUGUGUUUGCCUUUCCUACAGCUCCCAUUCCUGUGGGCACCUUUCCCUUUUGGAUGCCAGGGGGUUCCCCACCCGGCUGCUCUGGCCCUGCAGGUUGCCCCGAGAUGUGCAGAAGCACCGAGGAAGGCGGUGUGGCCUCGGGCAGGUGAAGAAGCCCUGGCAGAAACCAGCCCAUGGGGACCUGCAGCCACUUGUGAAUCUCAGGCAAGAAGAGGUAGUCCCAGGUGGGGAUUAACAGUUUCUUUAGGCAAGGCACUGUCUUCGCCCUUGAAGUUUCUGGUAAAACUGAUCUAUUGUCUCCAAACAAGAUGGAAUUACGCAAAUAUAUUUACUUGCUUUAACAGACAAGGAAAUGUCCUUCUGCCAAGUCACAGGUUCCAAAGCACUUUGGCUUCUCCAGAGAACAAACAACCCCUACCUUGCUUUUUUGGAGGAGCCAAAGCGCAGUAUACAGCAUGGGAUGUAAUCUGAGCAUGCACACCAAAACUACUGGUUUGGUCUGAGCUUCCUUCCCAUCAGGAAGCUCAGCUGCUACAAGAGGCAUUAAGGGCUGCACACACGAGUAGCUUGGUUAGAUGCCUUGUUUAAUUCUCUACAAACCACAAACAAGUGACGUUUGGGCAGCCUGCAGUGAUUCAGAUUUGGACCUGCUGCACAGGAUACUCAGCUUCAGAGUGGGGAGCAAGGAAAAUAUGGUGCUGUGUGCCUUGGGGUUUAUCGCGAUGCCUCAGCUUUUGAUAAAGAAGCUCUGGUCUUAUGUAUGGAGUGGUUUGACAGCUGGGAGUUCUGCCUUAUUUUCCUCAAGUCUUGAUCAAUUGUGCUGAAAAGUGUUCUUUUCCUCACAGGAUCCCUGUAAAAACAGAAGAAAAGCUGUUACCGUGGUAUUGCCUCUGCAAUAUUUUUAAUGGUGUUUGUUUUUUAUGCCUAACAGGUAUUUUAAAUGGGUCUGAUAUUUCAGGAAGUCCUGAGAACACAAACUUUUUUUUUGCACAGGGUAGGAGGGGACUUCUGGAAUCCACCCUCAUACUCCAAUUAAGAGGGCAGUUAGGCCAAAGUUUUUGAACUACUAUUACACCAAGUGAUUAUUUUUUUAAUGGAGGAGAAUGCAUUUCUCUGAUACGAGUUUCUACGAAUUGUGCAUAUUUUAAAUUAUCUUCCCAGAUGUUUUCUGUAAGAGAUUCUUGCUGAAGAUUAGCUCCAUGACAGCUCCACUGCUUUCAUAUUUUGCCAGAAGACAGACACUUACGCAUAAGCUGGUCCUCCUGAACCUUCCAAGGAUAGCAUAGAUUAUCCUGCAGAUGUAAGGCAAAAAAAAAAAAGAAUAUGAUUGCAACAUAAUGAACAAGAAUUGCUUCUGUGUAAUACUGCAAGAGGUUCCAAGUAAUCAGAUUUUGUUGGAACAAGCAAGCAGGAAGAGUGAUAACAUGCUUACUAUGUGUAGGCAAUAAGUUAUCAUCAAUGCUAUAAUAAAUUUAUAAAGCUCAUAAAGGAUUUAAUCAAAUUAUUUUGAAAUCUAUGGCUCAAUGUCUGUUGGUAAGGAAUAAGGACAACAGUUCCACAUCUGAUCAUCUAUCCUGGAUCGCAGGGUUGCAAUUCCUGGACUGCAAACCCAACGUCUGUCCCAUGGAGACAUUUUACACGCGCAGUGGCAGAUCCUCUGCCUAAAAUAUGGUUUUACUCUCUUCUGCCAAGGGAGCCAACAUUUGCAGCACCAGUUUCAGAAAACACCCACCGACAUUUGCUCGAGUCUGUCUUGCAUCCGUUCGCUUCAGCUGGGCUCCCGGUUUCCUCCAUUUGCUUUUUUGCGGGGUUUAGACCAGCCUGAACCAGCACAGCUUCUGCAUGUCCCAGGAUGCUUCUUUCUUGUCCUUAACAAAAAAAUAUGCUUGCAACGGAAGGCAAAAGCUCCUCUAAAGCCUAUUUAAAUUUAUGAGCAUGUUGUUACAGACAUUGGAUUAGGCUCAUUGUUUCCCGGUUUCGUUCUUGUAAAUAAUUGUGUUUUUAUUCACCAUUGUUCCCACUGAAGGUUUUUGGCCCUAAAUUUCUAACCAGAGACACAGCGUGUUGUAGAAUAAUGUAUACGUAUGUUUUUUUUGACAGUUUUUAACAAAGAGUUUCUGGUAUGUCUUUUUCAGCCGUGCACUGAAUGGGCUGGAUUCGGCCCCGCGGAGCUGCCCGGCUCACAGCUGCUCGCACGGCACAGGUCCCUGCCCUUUAUGCUCAGGAUUUCCGAGCACUCUUGGAGCUGUAAAACUGUUCAAUGCACAAAAAGCAGCCACACUUUUGGUAGUUCUCCACAAUUUCUGUUUCCUUCCUUUGCUUUUCAUUUAAGCAUAUUAAAACCCACCUCGGUCGCACCGCCAGCAAAAUGGAUGCGUGUCUCUCGAGGCAGAAAUCGUCAGUGAGUCACGCUCUGGCAAGAGCCAAGCCCUUGCAAAAGGCUCAGCUGCAACCCAAAAGGUGGUGCCUGGCCGACUUACCAGUCUCCUUUUGAAGCUUUAUUUUGGCAAGGACGAGAAUAGCGAUAGUGAUGAAAAUCAGCAAAAGCAGAGCCGACAGCACAACUGGGAGCAGGUGUGAUUCACCCGAUGAGCUGGAAAGAUGAACCGUCGGAAUUAAAUUGGAUUUUGAGUUAAAGACCGGGUGGUUGAAUGGAGACUGUAGAUUUUACACCAAAGAGCACAAAAGAGUUAUAAACAGACUGAAUCAAAGGAGAACAGUCAACAAAGUCAAGCAGAAAUGAAAUUGUUUGAUCUGGAACUUGGCUUAUGAGGAAGUAAUUUCUACAGCUACCUCUGCUCAGCCAUGAGGGGCUUAUGCUGCCUGAUGAAUUAUCCCCUCCAAGAGGAAAACGUGCUUUUUUCAUCAUACAAACUCCCAAGCAGGGUUCAGACUCUUUCUCUGCAAGUUCUUGUAGGCUGUCAUGUUGUUGCAGGGUGUCUACGUGCCAUCUCCUUGUGAAAAUGCCAUAAACGCUAUCAGAGCUCGACAUGUGGAUAGAGCUUUGCCAGGAACGGUGCAAAAUCCGACCCUUUAUACAAGAGUGUGACUUAAGGAAAACAGACAGGAGCACAUCUGUUGACUCUGGCAGCUGAUCUACAGGACUGACCAGCACCAGAAGAUUUCGAGACUGGUUCAAAGAUCCUCUCCACAGAUGGACAUGAGAUAAGCUUGCCAUCUGCUUUUCUAAUUACACCUAUUUUCUAUCAGAGUUUAUAAUUUGCAACCUCUGCACAACCUAAGUAGAGGCCAGGGGAAUUGGGCAGACGGGUGCAAACCACCAAAUUUGUGUCUUGGAGAAAAGUGGCCAUGAGCUUACCUCUUGUGAUAGAUGCUGCUGCGGGAGGUCACCGAA